AGGGGGACCUUCGAGGCCUCUUGCCAUCGAUAUGUGCCCAGAUGGGAUUACCUAGUAGGUGGGGUAACGGCUCACCUAGGCGACAAUCCCUAGCUGGUCUGAAAGGAUGACCACCCCCACUGGGACUUGAAACACGGCCCAAACUCCUACGGGAGGCAGCAGUGGGGAAUAUUGCACAAGGGGCGCAAGCCUGAUGCACCCUUGCCGCGUGUAUAAAAAAGGCCUUCGGUUUGUAAAGUCUUUUCAGCGGG
rnacentral:rRNA from 1 species